rnacentral:lncRNA from 1 species
UGAGGGGUGAGAAAGAGAGAGAGAGAGAGAGAGAGAGAGAGAUUAGAAAUUUAAUAAUUAGAAUAUAGGCUAAAUUACAGAAAAUCUCUUGUCAAUGCCUGCUUUUUUCCCUUUUCUUUUCUGUCAUUUAAAAAUUUAUAUUUUACCCCCUUAAAAAAAUAAAAAAUAUUCACUUUGACCCCCGCCCUCAGUAAAUGUUCACUUUGGCCCCUGCCCUCAGUAUUCCGUUAGGGUUCCAUUUAUAUCCUAUUAUUAUAUAUUUUUUAUGUCCAAAAUACCCUCAGCAUUGCCGCCUCCUUCCUCGCCGCCCACGCUGCCUCGCCCUCCUCCGCCGCCUCGCCCUCGCCCUCGCCCGCCUCUCCAUCCACGCCCACACACACGUUCUCGCGCUCCUUCGCCGUCUUGCCCUCGCCCUCGCCCACCUCUCCGUCCAUACCCAUCUCGAUUUUCUCCCUACCGUCGCCGAAAUAGAGGGGCGACGAGGGUGCAGGAGUAGCAGGGGAGCAAGUGAAGGAAAUAAAGUCUGACGAAGAUCAUACUUUGUUUCCGUGC